UUAAGCGACUAAGCGUACACGGUGGAUGCCCUGGCAGUCAGAGGCGAUGAAGGACGUGCUAAUCUGCGAAAAGCGUCGGUAAGGUGAUAUGAACCGUUAUAACCGGCGAUGUCCGAAUGGGGAAACCCAGUGUGAUUCGUCACACUAUCGUUAACUGAAUACAUAGGUUAACGAGGCGAACCGGGGGAACUGAAACAUCUAAGUACCCCGAGGAAAAGAAAUCAACCGAGAUUCCCCCAGUAGCGGCGAGCGAACGGGGAGCAGCCCAGAGUCUGAAUCAGCUUGUGUGUUAGUGGAACGGUCUGGAAAGUCCGACGGUACAGGGUGAUAGUCCCGUACACCAAAAUGCACAGGCUGUGAACUCGAAGAGUAGGGCGGGACACGUGGUAUCCUGUCUGAAUAUGGGGGGACCAUCCUCCAAGGCUAAAUACUCCUGACUGACCGAUAGUGAACCAGUACCGUGAGGGAAAGGCGAAAAGAACCCCGGCGAGGGGAGUGAAAAAGAACCUGAAACCGUGUACGUACAAGCAGUGGGAGCACCUUCGGGUGUGACUGCGUACCUUUUGUAUAAUGGGUCAGCGACUUAUAUUCUGUAGCAAGGUUAACCGUAUAGGGGAGCCGCAGGGAAACCGAGUCUUAACUGGGCGUUAAGUUGCAGGGUAUAGACCCGAAACCCGGUGAUCUAGCCAUGGGCAGGUUGAAGGUUGGGUAACACUAACUGGAGGACCGAACCGACUAAUGUUGAAAAAUUAGCGGAUGACUUGUGGCUGGGGGUGAAAGGCCAAUCAAACCGGGAGAUAGCUGGUUCUCCCCGAAAGCUAUUUAGGUAGCGCCUCGUGAAUUCAUCUUCGGGGGUAGAGCACUGUUUCGGCUAGGGGGUCAUCCCGACUUACCAACCCGAUGCAAACUACGAAUACCGAAGAAUGUUAUCACGGGAGACACACGGCGGGUGCUAACGUCCGUCGUGAAGAGGGAAACAACCCAGACCGCCAGCUAAGGUCCCAAAGUCAUGGUUAAGUGGGAAACGAUGUGGGAAGGCACAGACAGCCAGGAUGUUGGCUUAGAAGCAGCCAUCAUUUAAAGAAAGCGUAAUAGCUCACUGGUCGAGUCGGCCUGCGCGGAAGAUGUAACGGGGCUAAACCAUGCACCGAAGCUGCGGCAGCGACACUAUGUGUUGUUGGGUAGGGGAGCGUUCUGUAAGCCUGCGAAGGUGACCUGUGAGGGUUGCUGGAGGUAUCAGAAGUGCGAAUGCUGACAUAAGUAACGAUAAAGCGGGUGAAAAGCCCGCUCGCCGGAAGACCAAGGGUUCCUGUCCAACGUUAAUCGGGGCAGGGUGAGUCGACCCCUAAGGCGAGGCCGAAAGGCGUAGUCGAUGGGAAACAGGUUAAUAUUCCUGUACUUGGUGUUACUGCGAAGGGGGGACGGAGAAGGCUAUGUUAGCCGGGCGACGGUUGUCCCGGUUUAAGCAUGUAGGCUGAUUGUCCAGGCAAAUCCGGAUAAUCAAGGCUGAGGUGUGAUGACGAGGCACUACGGUGCUGAAGUAACAAAUGCCCUGCUUCCAGGAAAAGCCUCUAAGCAUCAGGUAACAUCAAAUCGUACCCCAAACCGACACAGGUGGUCAGGUAGAGAAUACCAAGGCGCUUGAGAGAACUCGGGUGAAGGAACUAGGCAAAAUGGUGCCGUAACUUCGGGAGAAGGCACGCUGGUGUGUAGGUGAAGNNNNNNNNNNNUGGAGCUGAGACCAGUCGAAGAUACCAGCUGGCUGCAACUGUUUAUUAAAAACACAGCACUGUGCAAACACGAAAGUGGACGUAUACGGUGUGACGCCUGCCCGGUGCCGGAAGGUUAAUUGAUGGGGUUAUCCGUAAGGAGAAGCUCUUGAUCGAAGCCCCGGUAAACGGCGGCCGUAACUAUAACGGUCCUAAGGUAGCGAAAUUCCUUGUCGGGUAAGUUCCGACCUGCACGAAUGGCGUAAUGAUGGCCAGGCUGUCUCCACCCGAGACUCAGUGAAAUUGAACUCGCUGUGAAGAUGCAGUGUACCCGCGGCAAGACGGAAAGACCCCGUGAACCUUUACUAUAGCUUGACACUGAACAUUGAGCCUUGAUGUGUAGGAUAGGUGGGAGGCUUUGAAGCGUGGACGCCAGUCUGCGUGGAGCCAACCUUGAAAUACCACCCUUUAAUGUUUGAUGUUCUAACGUUGGCCCCUUACCGGGGUUGCGGACAGUGUCUGGUGGGUAGUUUGACUGGGGCGGUCUCCUCCCAAAGCGUAACGGAGGAGCACGAAGGUUAGCUAAUCCUGGUCGGACAUCAGGAGGUUAGUGCAAUGGCAUAAGCUAGCUUGACUGCGAGCGUGACGGCGCGAGCAGGUGCGAAAGCAGGUCAUAGUGAUCCGGUGGUUCUGAAUGGAAGGGCCAUCGCUCAACGGAUAAAAGGUACUCCGGGGAUAACAGGCUGAUACCGCCCAAGAGUUCAUAUCGACGGCGGUGUUUGGCACCUCGAUGUCGGCUCAUCACAUCCUGGGGCUGAAGUAGGUCCCAAGGGUAUGGCUGUUCGCCAUUUAAAGUGGUACGCGAGCUGGGUUUAGAACGUCGUGAGACAGUUCGGUCCCUAUCUGCCGUGGGCGCUGGAGAAUUGAGGGGGGCUGCUCCUAGUACGAGAGGACCGGAGUGGACGCAUCACUGGUGUUCGGGUUGUCAUGCCAAUGGCACUGCCCGGUAGCUAAAUGCGGAAGAGAUAAGUGCUGAAAGCAUCUAAGCACGAAACUUGCCCCGAGAUGAGUUCUCCCUGAGACUUUAAGUCUCCUGAAGGAACGUUGAAGACGACGACGUUGAUAGGCCGGGUGUGUAAGCGCAGCGAUGCGUUGAGCUAACCGGUACUAAUGAACCGUGAGGCUUAACCUU
rnacentral:rRNA from 1 species